rnacentral:rRNA from 1 species
UACGUAGGGGGCAAGCGUUGUCCGGAAUUAUUGGGCGUAAAGAGCGUGUAGGCGGCCAGAUAAGUCCGCUGUGAAAUCUCGAGGCUCAACUUCGAGCUGUCGGUGGAAACUAUCUGGCUAGAGUCUGGAAGAGGAGAAUGGAAUUCCUGGUGUAGCGGUGAAAUGCGCAGAUAUCUGGAGGAACACCGGUGGCGAAGGCGGCAUCCUGGACCAAUACUGACGCUGAGGAGCGAAAGCCAGGGGAGCAAACGGG